CCUACGGGAGGCAGCAGUAGGGAAUCUUCCACAAUGGACGAAAGUCUGAUGGAGCAACGCCGCGUGAGCGAUGAAGGCCUUCGGGUCGUAAAGCUCUGUUGUCAGGGAAGAACAAGUACCGGAGUAACUGCCGGUACCUUGACGGUACCUGACCAGAAAGCCACGGCUAACUACGUGCCAGCACCGCGGCAUGG
rnacentral:rRNA from 1 species